AUGCAUCGUGCCAACUGCGAUGUAGCCUCGGUCAUAAUUUUCAUCUCAGCGCUCAAACUCGACUCAACUUUCGUUCGCUUUGACCUCUCCGUCGACCUUGGUUCUCACAGCGGUUCCGACGCGUCUUCAUCGGCGGAAAUGAUAAACAACAACGUAGGAGAGAUGAAGAUGCGAUAUGGAGAUCGAAGAUGCUUGAAGCAGAGAUUUCAGAGAGAGGGUUUCUUGAGAGGUUUUCUUGAAGAGUUGAAGAAGGAAUUGAAUAAAGGGCUGUCCAUUUACUUGAAUAAAAGCCGAGUCUGA